rnacentral:lncRNA from 13 species
UGCUGAAUUGACUGGAAUUGAAAUGGAAUUGACCCCAACCCUGCUAGGCAGGGUCUAUUAUGGCAGUGGAUCCCAAACUGUUAAUUCACAUGAACCCUUCAGGAACAUGAAACAAUACACAAUUAACAACUUAUACUACGUAUCAGUUAUAAAAUAUUAAUACAUGCUAUUUUGAUGCUAAUACUGUCCUUUGGACCUGCAUAUCCAGGCUCAUCGGGUGUGUAGGUAGUCCUACUAUGAUCAAAAUUGUAUUUGUAAAUUAUAUUAGGGAUUAUAAAGGAUGGAAUAUCCUGUACAUUAAAAUAUAAUAUCAUACAUUUAAUACACUUGUACAAUAAAAUAUCCUAUGGCUAUGAUCCAACAUUUUACAAGUCUGCUAUGGCAAUCGACUACCACCAGAGGGCAGUGAUAAGGCAGGGAAAUCAGAGCCAUACGCAAAACUCCUUUGACAGAGAAAGAUAGAGAGAGAAAUAAAGAGAGAAAGAAAGAAAGAAAGAAAAAUAGAAACAGACAGAGAUAAGGGGAGAAGUUAAUUCGAGGAGCAACAAGGGAUGAUAAAAUAGAAUGAAUGACACUGAAGAGGCACAUUGACAAAAAGGAAAAUGAAUGUGUGCCUGUGUGAAAGAAGCUAGGAUAGAGUAGCAGAGGUAAAUAAGGUCUGAUGACAUGGAGUCUGAACUUGCUAAACAUAUCAAGAAUCUCGUGGACCAGUUUCAUGGGCUUUAGUAGCCUCAAAUGCAGAGAACUUGCUUACGAAUUGGCACAUCGAAACAACAGUCAAGAAAUAGAAGGAUUUGUGUUUCCUCUGAGAGAGAACCUUGUUGAAAAGCAGAGCUUACUUUAAGCG